GUGCAGUUACAGACAGCAGUACCAGCCAAUCAACCACUGUGACGUUACAAGACCUCCAGCCUAUCACAGUAUUGCCUCAGAAAACCCUCCCCCCAGAGAAGCUGAAGGAAACCAUGCCAUCUCCCAAGAGGACCAUAGCAGCUCCUCCGACCGUGAAAGAACCUCUCCAGACCACGAAGGAAAACAGACCAGCAGUGGAGUCCAAGAAGCCAAGCUACGCUGAGAUCUGCCAAAGGAUACGAGCCAAUCAAACGCUUUGCGCAAACCCCAUUGACCACACCCC